rnacentral:rRNA from 1 species
CGUAAUAAUAGAAACUAACCAGGAUUCCCUUAGUAACGGCGAGUGAACUGGGAUACCCAAUAUAUACCAUCUGUGCGUACCUCGGUGCGUACAAAUUUUAGCCCGUCGAUACUAUCCUAGCAUAGUACUGGCUUCGGCCGGUAACCUAUCUAUGCGGGAAUUGUAGCAUCGUACAAAAAUAUAUUAUACAACGUAUAUAUACGCAACCCACACUUAUAUAUAUUUUUAUGCGUACACUUACUUUCAUAAACACACAGCGCUCUCGCGUUGGAAAGCAAGUUUAUAUCCUUUUUUGGAUACGCCAUAGAGUGUGACAGCCACGUUUCAACUCUACGUACGUACGUAUACACACGCGUUAUAUACAUACACUGUAUUUUAUAUAUAACCUGAGUCGAGUUAUUU